rfam:Triticum urartu cultivar G1812 contig793076, whole genome shotgun sequence.
AUAAUACUCCCUCCAUCCGAAAAUACUUGUCCGGGAAAUGAAUAAAAAUGGAUGUAUCUAGAACUGAAAUACCUAUAGAUACAUCCAUUUAUCCGACAAAUAUUUCCAAAAGGAGGCAGUACAAA